rnacentral:rRNA from 1 species
UUUAUGGAGAGUUUGAUCCUGGCUCAGGAUGAACGCUGGCGGCGUGCCUAAUACAUGCAAGUCGAGCGAACAGACAAGGAGCUUGCUCCUUUGACGUUAGCGGCGGACGGGUGAGUAACACGUGGGUAACCUACCUAUAAGACUGGGAUAACUUCGGGAAACC